CUGGGCGUAAAGCGAGCGCAGACGGUUACUUAAGCAGGAUGUGAAAUCCCCGGGCUUAACCUAGGAACUGCGUUCUGAACUGGGUGACUAGAGUGUGUCAGAGGGAGGUAGAAUUCCACGUGUAGCAGUGAAAUGCGUAGAGAUGUGGAGGAAUACCGAUGGCGAAGGCAGCCUCCUGGGAUAACACUGACGUUCAUGCUCGAAAGCGUGGGUAGCAAACAGGAUUAGAUACCCUGGUAGUCCACGCCCUAAACGAUGUAUACUAGUUGUUGCUUCGCUAGUCGAGGCAGUAAUGCACCUAACGGAUUAAGUAUACCGCCUGGGGAGUACGGUCGCAAGAUUAAAACUCAAAGGAAUAGACGGGGACCCGCACAAGCGGUGGAGCAUGUGGUUUAAUUCGAAGAUACGCGAAGAACCUUACCCGGACUUGAUAUCUAACAAAUCAUCCAGAGAUGGAAGAGUGUCUGCUUGCAGAAAUGUUAAGACAGGUGCUGCACGGCUGUCGUCAGCUCGUGUCGUGAG
rnacentral:rRNA from 1 species